UAUACUUGCUAAACAUUGAUGCGCAUCAAGCUGUAACUGCGCUAUACUCUCCCUAGAAGACCGACCUUUGCGAAAACCAAACUGAUUAUUAGGCAAAAGACAAUUUUGUUCUAUAAAGAACUCGAGACGUUGUUUUAGAAGCUGCUCAAAUAUCUUCCCAACACAAGACGUGAGAGCUAUAGGUCUAUAAGAGUCAGCAUUUAAAACUGCUUCUGUACACCUCUGAUUCCACCAAGGCGACCAAGGAUAUUUAAAAGAUUUUUGUGAACAAGAACUAGUAGCAUUAUUACUAUUAGAACUUUUGGAAAACAGACAGCUAGGGAUUGACUGCUUGGCAGCAGAAAGUAAAAUAUUACAAAAGGAAUUAAAAGCAUCUAUUGAAGAUAAAGUGUCAAAUUUAACAUCAUCCAAAUAAGAAACAACUAAGUUACUAUACAUAUUCCAAUUCACCUGCUUAUAAUUAGGGGAGAUGAUAACUACUGCCCAGAGGACUAUCAAUAACUGACCAGUCGCAUAAAAGAGCCAAAGAUGGAGUUACCAAAGUCAAGUCAAGAGCAUUAGGACGCCAAGAUGGAGAUCCUAUUGUGGUAGCUUGACCAUUAUUCAGAAUAACAAGACCAUUCUCAUCUAUAACCUCUAAAACAUCUUUACCUCGAGGCAAUGUAUCAACACAUCCCCACAACAUGUGAUGAGCAUUGAAAUCACCUGCAAAUAUCAUUGGAUCUGGAAUGGACUUAAUUAAACUGUUUAAAUUGUUUUUAUUAAAUGGAGGAUUUGAAUUGGAAGGACUGUAAAAACUCACAAUACUCAGUUCUUUGUUAUUAAUUUUAAUUUUAAUGCAAACAUUUUGUA